CGUAGGAGACAAACGUUAUCCGGAGUUACUGGGCGUAAAGGGCGUGUAGGUGGUUUUGUAAGUCUGGCGUGAAAUUUUUCGGCUUAACCGGGAAAGGUCGUCGGAUACUGCGGGACUAGAGGACGGUAGAGGCGUGUGGAAUUCCGGGUGUAGUGGUGAAAUGCGUAGAGAUCCGGAGGAACACCAGUGGCGAAGGCGACACGCUGGGCCGUACCUGACACUGAUGCGCGACAGCAUGGGGAGCAAACAGGAUUAGAAACCCUGGUAGUCCAUUCCGUAAACGAUGCUAGCUGGGUGUUCAGGGGGGGAAACCCCUCGGGGUACCGAAGUCAACACGGUAAGCUAGCCGCCUGGGGAGUACGGUCGCAAGAUUA
rnacentral:rRNA from 1 species